rnacentral:rRNA from 1 species
CUCGAUAAUCCACGCAUAUUCCUCCUUCUCUAGAUACCAGCAUGUGUACUGCCGUCGUAAGCACACCUCUAAAAGAUAGUAUGCCAUCACGAUAUUUACUCAAAUACAUCAGGUCAAAGUGCAGCCUAUAAGAAGGUGAUGAUGGGUUACAACCCCCAACCAGACAUCAACUAAGAGCUAAAAAAUCUUACGAAAGUGGACUUGGCCGUAAUCAAUUUCAAGUUAAAAAAAUGAAUUUAAUCUAAGACAUGCACACAUCGCCCGUCACUCUACCCUAAAGGCUAGAUAAGUCGUAACAAAGUAGGUGUAAUGGAAAUUGUACCUGUCGAAGUAUAGCAUAUAAAUAAUGCUUUUUACUUACACUAAAAAAAAGUCAAGACUACUUCGCCCACAUAUAAAAUCUUAUAAAUUUAUAAAUUAAAACAAUUAUUAAUCAAAUAUGAAGUACAGAAAUGGAACAAAUAAUAAAGAAAAGUAAAUCUAAACAAUUGUACCUCAUGCAUUAUGGUUUUACAAGAAAAAAAUUAACAAUAUUAAUCCCGAAUUCUAAGUGAGAUGUUAAACUGCUGCUAUGCACCCACUAAUAACUGUAGAAAAAGUUUUAAAAGACAGAUUAACAGAGGCUACAUACCAUCCGCACAAGAAUAUAGCUGGUUUUUAGCAAAAAUUAUAAAUUAAAGCAUAUAAUACUAUUUUAUAUUGUUAUAUUAUUGAGGACAAGCCCAAUAAUUCAUGCAAUUGUCUCACUACAACAUCACUAACCUAUAAGCCUAUAAUCAGCUAAUUAAAAUACUUUAUCGUAAACUAUAUAGACAUAAUACAUAAACCAAAAUGCCUAAACUAGCUAAAAUAGUGGAUCAACUAACUAAUCCACCAAUAUUAUGUAAAAAUAAGUAUCAUUAACUAUUAAUUACAAUACACUAGUAUUAACAACUAAUAAUAACCCAUAAUUAAUUAAGGAACUCGGCAAAAAAUUAUUUCGACUGUUUAACAAAAACAUUGUCUC